UGGGGGAUAUUGCACAAUGGGCGAAAGCCUGAUGCAGCGACGCCGCGUGGGGGAUGAAGGCUUUCGGGUUGUAAACCUCUUUCGCUAUCGAACAAGGCCCGCUUAGGGUGGGUUGAGGGUAGGUGGAGAAGAAGCGCCGGCUAACUACGUGCCAGCAGCCGCGGUAAUACGUAGGGCGCGAGCGUUGUCGGAAUUAUUGGGCGUAAAGGGCUUGUAGGCGGCUUGUUGCGCCUGCUGUGAAAACGCGGGGCUUAACUUCGCGCGUGCAGUGGGUACGGGCAGGCUUGAGUGUGGUAGGGGUGACUGGAAUUCCAGGUGUAGCGGUGGAAUGCGAAGAUAUCUGGAGGAACACCGAUGGCGAAGGCAGGUCACUGGGCCAUUACUGACGCUGAGGAGCGAAAGCAUGGGUAGCGAACAGG
rnacentral:rRNA from 1 species